rnacentral:rRNA from 1 species
UCCGUAGGUGAACCUGCGGAAGGAUUAUUACAGAAAUAGGAGAAGGUUGCUUAACUGCAAUCCUCUUCUUUCUACACAUGUGUUUUUCUUUUUUUUGAAAACUUUGCUUUGGUGGGCCCACGGCCUGCCAGAGAUUAAACUCAACCAAAUUUUUAUUUAAUUGUCAACUUGAUUAACUAACAGUCAAAACUUUCAACAACGGAUCUCUUGGUUCUCGCAUCGAUGAAGAACGCAGCGAAAUGCGAUAAGUAAUAUGAAUUGCAGAUAUUCGUGAAUCAUCGAAUCUUUGAACGCACAUUGCGCCCUUUGGUAUUCCAAAGGGCAUGCCUGUUUGAGCGUCAUUUCUCCCUCAAACCUUCGGGUUUGGUGUUGAGCGAUACGCUGGGUUUGCUUGAAAGAAAGGCGGAGUAUAAACUAAUGGAUAGGUUUUUUUUUCCACUCAUUGGUACAAACUCCAAACAUUCUUCCAAAUUCGACCUCAAAUCAGGUAGGACUACCCGCUGAACUUAAGCAUAUCAAUAAGCGGAGGA